rnacentral:rRNA from 1 species
CUCAAAUUUAAAAUCUGGCAGUCUUUGGCUGUCCGAGUUGUAAUCUGGAGAAGUGUUUUCCGCGCUGGACCGUGUACAAGUCUCUUGGAAUAGAGCGUCAUAGAGGGUGAGAAUCCCGUCUUUGACACGGACUACCAGUGCUUUGUGAUACGCUCUCAAAGAGUCGAGUUGUUUGGGAAUGCAGCUCAAAAUGGGUGGUAAAUUCCAUCUAAAGCUAAAUAUUGGCGAGAGACCGAUAGCGAACAAGUACCGUGAGGGAAAGAUGAAAAGCACUUUGGAAAGAGAGUUAAACAGUACGUGAAAUUGCUGAAAGGGAAGCGUUUGAAGUCAGUCGCGUUGUUCAGAACUCAACCUGGUUCUACUUGGUGCACUUUCUGGACAACGGGCCAACAUCAGUUUUGACUGUCGGACAAAAGCCUUUGGAAUGUGGCACCUCCGGGUGUGUUAUAGCCUUUGGUUGUAUACGAUGGUUGGGACUGAGGACCGCAGCACGCCUUAUGGCCGGGGUUCGCCCACGUACGUGCUUAGGAUGUUGGCGUAAUGGCUUUAAACGACCCGUCUUGAAACACGGACCAAGGAGUCUAACAUGCCUGCGAGUGUUUGGGUGGAAAACCCGAGCGCGUAAUGAAAGUGAAAGUUGGGAUCCCUGUCGUGGGGAGCACCGACGCCCAUACCAGACCUUCUGUGACGGAUAUGCGGUUGAGCAUGUAUGUUGGGACCCGAAAGAUGGUGAACUAUGCCUGAAUAGGGUGAAGCCAGAGGAAACUCUGGUGGAAGCUCGUAGCGAUUCUGACGUGCAAAUCGAUCGUCAAUUUGGGUAUAGGGGCGAAAGACUAAUCGAACCAUCUAGUAGCUGGUUCCUGCCGA